rnacentral:rRNA from 1 species
UUGUAAUCUGUAGAAGGUGCCUCGGGUGCGAUUCCGGUUCAAGUUCCUUGGAACAGGGCGUCAUAGAGGGUGAGAAUCCCGUACGUGCCCGGCAAUCAACCCCGUGUGAGGCCCUUUCGACGAGUCGAGUUGUUUGGGAAUGCAGCUCUAAAUGGGUGGUAAAUUUCAUCUAAAGCUAAAUACCGGCCAGAGACCGAUAGCGCACAAGUAGAGUGAUCGAAAGAUGAAAAGCACUUUGAAAAGAGAGUUAAAAAGUACGUGAAAUUGUUGAAAGGGAAGCGCUUGCAACCAGACUCGCGCGCGGGUGUUCAAUCGUCCUUCGGGGCGGUGCGCUCUCCCGUGUCCGGGCCAGCAUCGGUUCGGGCGACCGGAUAAAAGUUUCGGGAACGUAGUUCUUUUCGGAGAAUGUUAUAGCCCGGGGCAUAAUGCGGCCAGCCUGGACCGAGGACCGCGCUUUUGCUAGGAUGCUGGCGUAAUGGUUGCCAGCGACCCGUCUUGAAACACGGACCAAGGAGUCGACCAAUUCCGCGAGUGUUUGGGUGUUAAACCCAUGCGCGCAAUGAAAGUGAUUAUGGUACGAGCUUCGGCGCAGUAUCGACCGAUCUUGAAAUUUAUGGAUGGAUUUGAGUAAGAGCGAAUUUGGUCGGACCCGAAAGAUGGUGAGCUAUGCCUGAAUAGGGUGAAGCCAGAGGAAUCUCUGGUGGAGGCUCGNANCGNUUCUGACNUGCAAAUCNAUCNUCAAAU